rnacentral:rRNA from 1 species
GAUAGAGGAUGCAAGCGUUAUCUGGAAUGAUUGGGCGUAAAGCGUCUGUAGGUGGCUUUUCAAGUCCGCCGUCAAAUCCCAGGGCUCAACCCUGGACAGGCGGUGGAAACUACCAAGCUGGAGUACGGUAGGGGCAGGGGGGAAUUUCCGGUGGAGCGGUGAAAUGCAUUGAGAUCGGAAAGAACACCAACGGCGAAAGCACUCUGCUGGGCCGACACUGACACUGAGAGACGAAAUCUAGGGGAGCAAAUGGG